AUAACAUUGUUUCCUGCAGACCUGCACACCAACAAUACGUUUUGUACAAAAAUGCAAGUGCGGCAGUCGUCGAAACUAGUAAUUUUUCCGAAGAAUUUUUAUCACUAUACUACACAGAAGAUGACGGCAUUGACGCUCGGCUUCAAAAGCCCAACGAGUUUGUCAGAGCAAGACAAAAAAAUCUGACGGAAAUAUUCAAGAGAUGCCCCAAGAAGAGUGCGGAAUAAAAUAAGGAAGGCAAAUGAACAACAACCACCAAUUGGAACACAUGAAGUGUUAGAUUUGCACUGUGGCCUGACACUAAUAAUUUAUAACAAUUAUAUUAACUACAAAAAGCG